rnacentral:lncRNA from 1 species
AUGCGGUGGGCUCAGGCCUGGGCUGGCAGGAGGAUCACGGAUGGGCCACGUGCUGAGCCCAUGCUGCCUUCAGCAUUUUCCAUAUUUUCAGGCCUGGUAAGUUGUAAAACCACUGAACAGAGAUUUCAGAGGGGAUUUCUGGCUGUUUUCCCUACAAGGGGACAAUCACCUUACCCCCGUUGUGUUCUGCCACCAGCUUUGAUCCCCCAAGCCUCGGCACCUCGUGCUCGGUGCACAUUAUCUGAGAACUUCUUUCGAGUGCUGGUAUGUUUUGAGGAUUGUGUGCCUAAAAAUAAUGGUAGCAAACCGUCAACAGGGGAAGGUCAAGGACUCAAACGGCCGAGAAGCUGUCCCCUUAGGGCAGCAUCUGAAUAUGGAAAACGUGUGUGGAGGAGGCAGGAGCUGGGGAAGAGCAGCCUCAUGCAGCGCCGUGGUGCUUGCCUCGGUUCCCUGCUUGUUUUUGGUCCGGUUCUGCGUGGGGAUGGGAUAAUUUGGGACCUUUUUCUCUGUUUUUCUCCAUGGCUAAUAAAACCGGGCUCCUCUUGGCUGAAGCCAGGGCUAGUGUCCAUCAAAAGCAGAGCCGCUGCCUGGGGAGAGGGGGUGGCCGUGCAGCCGUUUUGCCCUUUUUUUCCCCCCCCUGAAGCCCUCGUCCGAGGCUUCUCAGCGUACACAAUGCCAAGAACUGGCUCCAGCAGGUUUUGUUCGUGGCAGUACCCUCCGUUGGCAGCCCACACACAAGGUGCCCAGCAUGGCUGCCCCCCCCAUCGUGCCUUUUCACAUUCAUACCCACCAGGGGCAUCGUUCCUAUUGUUUGCCACGGCUCUUGGAAAAAUGAGUCAUGGGCAUUUUGCCUGCCCUCAGCGGGGAGACUCUGCCACAUUAGCAGCAGCAACGCCCGCCCCCCUGCUCCGCUGCCUCGCAUACCAGCAGGCCCCUUCGUGCGAGGAGCUGGGCUUUGCCUCCCUGCAGCCCCUUGCUGCUGCUGCUGCCUCUUGCCGGGGCCUCGCUCCCCGCACCCAAGGCUGGAAGGAGCUCGGCUCGAGGUGCUGCAGCCAGCUCCCUCGCCCCGUUCCUGCAGGGGGUCUUCUCCCUGCCUGGAGCUGGAAUAUUGAAGCCCGAGUUUCCUGCACUUGUUUUUGGGCUCUGCUCCUUCCUUGGCAGCUUAUCAGUGCAGAUAACGGUGGUUUGGGGCUCCUCCUGCAGCAGCGACGGAGAUCUCCCUGCCCAGCCUCGCUCAGGGUGGCGUUUCCCUGCAGGAUUUGGGGCAGGGGCAUGGUAAAACAAAACCUCCAGCUGCCACGGGGCUGGGGCAGUUUCUUUCACUCCCACACGAGCAUUUAUUGCUCACCCUCAGGGUGCCUGGGUCCUAUUCUGGAUUUUUCCUGUUCCACCCGAGAAGUGCUAAGGGCUCAGCUUUGCAGCAGGGCUCGCCUCCUUGCAAGGACUUCAAACGCAGAGCUUCAAAAGCAGGGCUGA